rnacentral:rRNA from 1 species
UACGAAGGGUGCAAGCGUUACUCGGAAUUACUGGGCGUAAAGCGUGCGUAGGCGGUUUGUCGCGUCUGCUGUGAAAACUCGGGGCUUAACCCCGGGCCUGCAGUGGGUACGGGCAGACUAGAGUGUGGUAGGGGAGACUGGAAUUCCUGGUGUAGCGGUGAAAUGCGCAGAUAUCAGGAGGAACACCCGUGGCUAAGGCGGCUCUCUAGUACGGUACUGACGCUGAGACGCGAAAGCGUGGGGAGCGAACAGG